rnacentral:lncRNA from 1 species
ACUCGCGAGAUUGAUAGUUGGCUACAUGACUGGGCUCCGAGUGCGCAUGCGCAUUCUCCCCUCUUUGCCCUGGGCCACGCCUCCUUCGAGGCCCCAGAGAGCUCUUGGGUAAGGAAUGGGCGGGGCCUCGAGGGAGAGAUUGGAGACGUAGGUUUGUGCGUCGGCUUCCCGGCAUGACGCGAGCGCUGUCUUCCAGGCGUUCUUAACGGCUCAGGGUCCACCGGCGCCUGGUCUGCUCUGCUUGGCAGGGAUCUGCGGCACUCCGAGAAAACUUGCCCAGGUUUUGCGCCGCCUACUGCAGUAUAGAGGCCUGUGCAGGCCUUAACACUUUCGCUGCCGCCGCUCAUAGAAAUACUUCGAAUAAUCUCCAGUGGUUACGCCUUCCACUGUCCUCAACAUAGCCUGUGGGUCUUGCGCACGGAUCUGCUGCAGGUUAUCAAGAACAUCGUGUUCUACUCAAUAGAAAAUCGUACUGCUGUGAAUUGUUAUCUGCCCUGCACAGGCUCUUAUUCAUCUUUGUAUCCCCAUAUCCAGUAUUCUAUCAGUAUGUAUUGAAUAGCGGAGACACACUUUUCAAGAGUUAAGAUUUGUGCAAACUGUUGAUUUUGUUGAAUUUCAAACAGAAGAGCUCUCCUUUGAAUCUAUAGUCUGCAAACUUUUAACUGAUCACAUGAUAAUUUUUAAGUUGAGAUCUGGAAAAAUGCCCCCCAGCCCAUUAGAAAUACUGUUUGUGAGACUAUAAGGAACCAUCUAAGGAUAUAUGAACAGAAAAAUACACAAAUGAGGUUUGUUGUGGUCUUCACCUGUUACUGCAAAAAGCCAGCAGUAGUGAGUCCAACAUAGAAAGUGUGAUUUUAAAGCUGUUGUACAGCCACACAGUGAACUAUUAUUUAUCUUCAACAACCAUUAAUGCAGAAGAGUGUUUAUUAUAUAGUGUUAACUGAAAAAACAAGUUGAAAAACAUGAAUGAAACAUUGGAAGGAUAAUCAUAAAAGUAUUGAAAGUGAUUGUUGUUGGUAUAUAUUUCCUAAUUCUUUUUAGUUUGUAUUUUUAUUUUUUUCUAAAGUGAAUCUCUGUAUUACUAUAUCAAGAAA